UCCCUGAAGGACUAGUGGUUAGGCUUUGGCGCUCUAACUGCCGCGGCCCUGGUUCGAUUCCCAGCUAGGAAA